UGCAGGUUUAAUCGUACCAAUUCUCAGUGUACUCGGAAUACUAUAAAAAUCGAAGAUUCAUAAGUUAGUAGUUGAAAAAUAUCGUUUUCAAGCGAUUUGUGAACAACAAUUUGUCAUCAUUUGGGAAGCUUUAAAAAUUCAUAGGACGAUAAGCAAAAACGGACUGCAUGCAGCGAAACUGAAGUUACAAAUUUUUUACAUAAAUUAUGUAUGUAAUGACUAUGCUGACGAACACUUGUUCAUUAAUGUACUGACAAGAUAUAUACACUGACUUUACACAUUUAAUCAAAAAAAUUAAAAAAAGGAAUCAUUCGAUUGACGAUCAAUGCUGAUCAAAGGGCACGUAAAAUAAUGUGAUAUCAGAAAAAAGGAGUUAAAAUGUUGUCAAUUAAUUCAACUAAGCCUUUUCAAACGCGGUACUGAAGAAUCGAUACUCAAAGUUGCAAAUUUUCUUGGCAAUGUCAACAGUAGCAGAGGUAAAAGGGACGUCUUGAAUGCUGCGAGCCAGAUUUUCUACAAACUUACCAAAAGAAGGCUGACCCCACCACUUGACAAAUUCCAUUUCUUCUGGGCAGUUUUUCUGGAAUUGCUUAGAUUCACGAACAAAUUUCCAUGCUCUAUGGUAUAUUACUUCAUUCA